rnacentral:misc_RNA from 1 species
AACGCACGAGACCUGCGGACCUGCGGAAGGAUCAUUAAUGAGAAACCGCCCCUCGCGGGUAGAUCUCCCACCCUUUGUAAACUUACCUUUGUUGCUUUGGCAGGCCCGUCUCCGGACCGCCGGCUUCGGCUGGCCAGUGCCUGCCAGAGGAUUCUAAAACUCUGUCUGUCAGUGUUGUCUGAGUCUAUAUACAAUCGUUAAAACUUUCAACAACGGAUCUCUAGAUCGGAAGAGCACACG